AUGAACGCUGGCGGCGUGCCUAAUACAUGCAAGUCGAACGCUUUGUGGUUCAACUGAUUUGGAGAGCUUGCUCAGAUAUGACGAUGGACAUUGCAAAGAGUGGCGAACGGGUGAGUAACACGUGGGAAACCUACCUCUUAGCAGGGGAUAACAUUUGGAAACAGAUGCUAAUACCGUAUAACAAUGACAACCGCAUGGUUGUUAUUUAAAAGAUGGUUCUGCUAUCACUAAGAGAUGGUCCCGCGGUGCAUUAGCUAGUUGGUAAGGUAAUGGCUUACCAAGGCGAUGAUGCAUAGCCGAGUUGAGAGACUGAUCGGCCACAAUGGGACUGAGACACGGCCCAUACUCCUACGGGAGGCAGCAGUAGGGAAUCUUCCACAAUGGGCGAAAGCCUGAUGGAGCAACGCCGCGUGUGUGAUGAAGGGUUUCGGCUCGUAAAACACUGUUGUAAGAGAAGAAUGACAUUGAGAGUAACUGUUCAAUGUGUGACGGUAUCUUACCAGAAAGGAACGGCUAAAUACGUGCCAGCAGCCGCGGUAAUACGUAUGUUCCAAGCGUUAUCCGGAUUUAUUGGGCGUAAAGCGAGCGCAGACGGUUAUUUAAGUCUGAAGUGAAAGCCCUCAGCUCAACUGAGGAAUUGCUUUGGAAACUGGAUGACUUGAGUGCAGUAGAGGAAAGUGGAACUCCAUGUGUAGCGGUGAAAUGCGUAGAUAUAUGGAAGAACACCAGUGGCGAAGGCGGCUUUCUGGACUGUAACUGACGUUGAGGCUCGAAAGUGUGGGUAGCAAACAGGAUUAGAUACCCUGGUAGUCCACACCGUAAACGAUGAGUGCUAGGUGUUUGAGGGUUUCCGCCCUUAAGUGCCGCAGCUAACGCAUUAAGCACUCCGCCUGGGGAGUACGACCGCAAGGUUGAAACUCAAAGGAAUUGACGGGGACCCGCACAAGCGGUGGAGCAUGUGGUUUAAUUCGAAGCAACGCGAAGAACCUUACCAGGUCUUGACAUCCCUUGACAACUCCAGAGAUGGAGCGUUCCCUUCGGGGACAAGGUGACAGGUGGUGCAUGGUUGUCGUCAGCUCGUGUCGUGAGAUGUUGGGUUAAGUCCCGCAACGAGCGCAACCCUUAUUACUAGUUGCCAGCAUUCAGUUGGGCACUCUAGUGAGACUGCCGGUGACAAACCGGAGGAAGGUGGGGAUGACGUCAAAUCAUCAUGCCCCUUAUGACCUGGGCUACACACGUGCUACAAUGGCGUAUACAACGAGUUGCCAACCCGCGAGGGUGAGCUAAUCUCUUAAAGUACGUCUCAGUUCGGAUUGUAGGCUGCAACUCGCCUACAUGAAGUCGGAAUCGCUAGUAAUCGCGGAUCAGCACGCCGCGGUGAAUACGUUCCCGGGUCUUGUACACACCGCC
rnacentral:rRNA from 1 species